CCUCUGCCGCAAGGCGCCGUGCAUCCGCGACCAGAUGGACCUCUUCUUUGAAUCCCCCUCCAGCCGCCGCCGGCAAAGUCCCAUGUCGCUUUCCGGCUCUCCGAUUCCCCAUCCAUGGUGCACACUCAAGGUCUCCAAGUUCUGCUCGAGAUGCAGCAGCAGCAGUUCACGGCGAUUCAGCCGCAGUAUAUCUUCUAGACCAUGCCCCAGCUCCCGGCCGUCGUCUGAAGGACCAACGCUGCCGCGGUUUCCUUGCCGCCGGCUGGCCAUCGCCUUCUACCCACCGCCACCUCUCUCCUUCCGCUGCACCAACGCCCUGGGCGGUGUCGCCACUGGUGGGAGCUUCUCCUCCCAGCAGCCAGACCCUGGGGUCAGGGGCAUGGCUUCCCCAACAGCUGCACCACCGGCCUGGACCGACAACAAAGAACGGUUGUGAAGCAGUUAUGUCCUUAUGGGCAUAUACCAGGCAGAAUAAUCUUCAGGAUCCUGAUUAUAAAAGGAAGAUCAUUUGCAAUGAUGAACUUAACGUCGUCUUUUGAACUGACGCCGCUGUAGAUCAAGAUGAGGAAGCAAAAAGAAUAUUAAGGUGCCCAAUACACUUCUCAACAAAUGACUCCUGUUAAUCCACCAGACGUGGUUGUUUCUGAUGCACUAGCUAAUUCAUUAGUGUUCAAGGAGCCUCAUGACAAUGCUCUGAAGUAUCUGUGGGAUUAGAUAAAAAAUCAUUUUCAGGUCUGUUAUGGUGUGGAGGGACAGGGCCUCUUUGAUCUAAACCAUGCCAUAUUUUGCCUACAAGACCACAGGCACCACUUUGGAUCGCUUUGAACAAAUUAAUGGAAAACUAGAAACAAGUUUAUUUGUUUCAAAAGAAAUUUUGAAUUCAUGGAAAGCACUGCUCAGAUAGCCCACUUUAGUGGUGCCUGCCUGAGAGCUAAGAGAUACCUUCUCUGGUAUUGACGGUUGUGACGAGCCAGGGCCCUCCUGUAGAGAACGAGCCACACCAGCCCUGGCCUUCAUGUCAAGAGCCAGGAAAUUGUUGUUCUAUCAUCCGACGAUAAGAGGGAUGACAACAAUAAGAUCGAUGAUAGGCUGAAGAACUCUAUUCAAAGGAAAGGGGUCAGUUAUGGUAGCUUCUUUUGGUUAUUUGCUAUGUACAGAACUUUGUAAAAUCCAUCACAAAGUUCCUAUUGUACCCAUAGUUUGUGAAAAUAAGAUGAUCAGUUCCAUGCCUUGGAUCUUUCGUAUUAACACAUUGCUUAUCAUCCAUUUACUAUGAGAACUCCACAUCAUAGUUGUAAUUUAAUAUGAUUUAAAAUAUCCUUUA